rnacentral:rRNA from 1 species
AUGAGCAAGUUGAUUAUGAUGUUAUCUUUUCUGCAUCACAUGGACGCCCUGCACUGCCCCCACCAGGAUUGCACUACCUUGCCCUGCCCGAGAUCACCGCCGGCUACAUCGCUAUGCUCCUCAUGGCUAGAAGGCAGAAGCAGCAACAGCAGCAGCAGGCGCGGCCGAAGAUCCCGGCGCCGCCCGCCGAGAAGCCUGUGGCUGAUGACGAUAGGAGCGAGGACAUCGCCAGCCCAGACACCCAGCUCACCUUCCCCGAGGACGAUGAGCAUGACGAGGCAGCGACAGUGGACGACGAAGCCAAGGCCAGCGUGCAGGACAAGGUGA